rnacentral:rRNA from 1 species
UACGUAGGCAGCAAGCGUUGUUCGGAGUUACUGGGCGUAAAGGGUGCGUAGGCGGCCCUGUAAGUAUGGUGUGAAAUCUCCCGGCUUAACUGGGAGGGUGCGCUAUAGACUGCGGGGCUCGAGUGUGGGAGAGGAAAGUGGAAUUCCUGGUGUAGCGGUGAAAUGCGUAGAUAUCAGGAGGAACACCGGUGGUGUAAACGGCUUUCUGGACCAUAACUGACGCUGAGGCACGAAAGCGUGGGUAGCGAACAGG